rnacentral:snoRNA from 1 species
GGGUUUUUAAUGAUGAGUUUAUCGACAAGCAUAUGUCUGAAUUUCAGUGAUGCUCACUUUUAAAUCUGAACCC